rnacentral:lncRNA from 1 species
ACAGAACUAACUUAAUUAAAUUAGUUUCUUACAAAAUGUGUCGGACAUUUUGAAUCUUUCAUUAUGAUUAAAAAUUAGAGUUUCUAGAGUAAUAAAGGUUUAGAAAAAAUAAAAGAAAUUUGUUUUUAGUAUUAUAUUGUGGCUAAUGAAGGAGUUAAAAAGUCCUGUAAGUUCUUCGGUAAUAUUGUAUGAGCGAUUAAAAGUAAUUUUAAGUACAGUAAAAAAGUUUCUCCUCAAUCAAGAUAAUCAAUGAACUAUCAUUUAUGCUAUCACCCCCUAGUCAUUCUUUGUGGCUGAAUUUUUAAUAAAAUAAAAGUAUAAAAAAUAAAUUUAUAAAACCCAUAAAAUAGAAAUAAAAAUAUAAAACUCAUAAAAUUAAAAUAAAAAUAUAAAACUCUAAAAAUAAAAAUAAAAAAUACAAAACUCUAAAAGUAAAACAUAAAAAUAUAUAAAUGUUCAUCUAGUCGCAAUCAAAUACCUUAUUUUCAUCAUCCAAUAUAAUGUAUAUGGCUCUUAAAGAUUGUGGCAUUGUUUUAACUAUCUAACAUUUAAUAAAUAUACAAUAAACUAUUUCCUAUGCAAUCGCCCCUGCUUAAUUCUCUUCAACAUAUAUAUAUAUUUUUUUUUCCUACUUUUUAUCUGUCCUAUUUUUUGUUAUUGAUAUUAUUAAGAUUCUUAUAUUUUUAUUUUGCUUUAUUAUUAAGGAUAAUCACUAUUAGCUAUAAAUGUUUUAUUUUGAUUAUAGUAGUAAAAUAUAUAUUGAUUAUAGUGUUUUAUAUUACUGCAUUAAUAUUAUUAUUAUUAAUAUUUAUUUCUAUUAUUAUUAAUAAUACUUAAUAGUAUUAUUAUUAUUAUUAUUAUUAUUAUUAUUAUUAUUAUUAUUAUUAUUAUUAUUAUUAUUAUUAUUAUUAUUAUGUUAUUAUUUAUACCAUUAUAGGUCUUUACACGUCAUCAGUUUAUAACUGUUUGUAAAUGUCCCGCACAAUUGUAUAUAUAUACAGUAUUAUUAAAGUGAAAAUAUAUUGAUUGAUUGAUUGAUUGAUUGAUUGAUUGAUUGUAACAAUAUACUUUGAUAAUUCUUAUUUUUAGUUAUAGCUACUAAAAUAGCAGUUUCAAAAAAGUAGCAGUAGUUUCAAAAAAGUAGCAAUGUCAGCAUCUUUUUAAACUAUUUCUUAAAUUGUUUUUUCUGUUUGGUUUUUAACAACGCUAAAAUAUUACUUAAAAUGCAUAAAUUUUCUCUAAAAGUUUUAGAGGAAAAUUAUGCAUUUUAAGUCGUAGCUACUUUUUAAAUAACUAAGUAAAAUUAUUAUUUUUUGUUUAUAUUAAGACCUAACAUCUGUUUGUUUAUGAUAGAUGUUAAGUGGUAGAUGUUAAGUGAUAGAUGUUAAGAUGCAAGUGAUUGUUAUGAGGAUUGCAAAACUUUUAAAUAUCAGAAACUGAAGAAAGCAUUGAUAAUCAGCAGAUAUCAAAAAAGCGGAAAAGUACUGAUUAUACAACUCUUUUAAAGUUGAGGAAGAAUUUUAUGUUAAUGUUAAUGCAAAAGGUAUGAAUAUUGACAGGUUUGCUAAUUUGAUGUUACAAUAAACAUGAAAUAAAGUUUGUGAAGACCUUAGUGCCAAAAAUACUUGCAUGCAUUAUUCAUGCAUGCUGUAUUAUAAUAUAGCAUGCAUGCAUGAUGCAUUCAAGUAUAAAAAAAAAAAUUACAAAUGUUUAAUUAUACAAAAAGAUUAUGGAUGUGGUACUGCAAGUAUAUUCAAUUGAUUAUGCAAGUAAGUUGUCCUACUUUACAUCUUUGAAGACUAAUAAUAAUUGUAAUGAACAUAUCUCAGACAAUAUACACUCGGAUUUAUAUUUUAGUUAAAUAAUCACCACUUCCACAGCCACCUUGUCUCAAGCAUUAAAUGGCAUUCUAAGAUAUCUUUAUUCAAAUUAGGUGUGACUACUUUACCAAAAGACUCUAGAAUGGACCAAUCAAGUUAGGUGUCUAAAUCUAUAUCUUUUAUAUAGAACUCCUUUAUUUUUAGAUAAACCUGUUAAUUUUAUGACUUAUGAACAUAUUUAGCAAUGUAAUCCUUUUAGGAUAGACUUUUUAAAAUCAAAUUUACAAUGUUUUAGUAAAUUUUUAUUUAAAAUAACUUUGUAUACUUAAUAUAUCUAUAUAGUUAUUUACAUAAUAGCUAACCCAUCAGUACUUGCAAAGUCUCUAUUUCUGUAAGCCCGAAAAUUGAGUUCUGAAAUACUAUUAUCCACAUAACUUCUAUAUCAAAGUACAAUCUAAUGGAUUGAUCAAUGAAACUGUCGGUAUCUCCACAACUUUUCAAUUAAAUAGAAAGUUUCAAUUAAACAGGAUACUAAGUGUGCCUACUGCUCCUCAAGACAAU